rnacentral:tRNA from 1 species
GCCGGGAUAGCUCAGCGGGUAGAGCGGGUGUUUUGUAAACACUUGGUCGGGGGUUCAAUUCCUCUUCCCGGCUCCA